UACGAAGGUUGCUAGCGUUUCUCGGAAUUACUGGGCGUAAAGGGCGCGUAGGCGGAUACUUAAGUCGGGGGUGAAAGCCCGGGGCUCAACCUCGGAAUUGCCUUCGAUACUGGGUAUCUUGAGUUCGGGAGAGGUGAGUGGAAUGCCGAGUGUAGAGGUGAAAGUCGUAGAUAUUCGGCGGAACACCAGUGGCGAAGGCGACUCACUGGCCCGAUACUGACGCUGAUGCGCGAAAGCGUGGGGAGCAAACAGG
rnacentral:rRNA from 1 species